UUAACACAUGCAAGUCGAGGGGUAACAGUCCCGCUUCGGCGGGAGCUGACGACCGGCGCACGGGUGAGUAACGCGUAUGCAACUUUCCUGUAACUGGAGGAUAGCCCCUGGAAACGGGGAUUAAUACUGCGUAAUACCUAAAUACCGCAUGGUAUUAAGGUCAAAUCUACGGAGGUUACAGAUGGGCAUGCGUGCCAUUAGCUAGAUGGUAAGGUAACGGCUUACCAUGGCAAUGAUGGCUAGGGGUUCUGCAAGGAAGGCCCCCCACACUGGUACUGAGACACGGACCAGACUCCUACGGGAGGCAGCAGUGAGGAAUAUUGGUCAAUGGAGGCAACUCUGAACCAGCCAAGCCGCGUGAAGGAAGACUGUCCUAUGGAUUGUAAACUUCUUUUGUGGCAGAAUAAACUACCGUACUUGUACGGUAUUGCAUGUAUGCCAUGAAUAAGCAUCGGCUAACUCCGUGCCAGCAGCCGCGGUAAUACGGAGGAUGCAGGCGUUAUCCGGAUUUAUUAGGUUUAAAGGGUGUUCAGGCUGCCUGGUAAGUCAGGGGUGAAAGUCGGUUGCUCAACGAUCGAAUUGCCUUUGAAACUGUCAGGCUCGAGUAUGGAUGCGGUAGGCGGAAUGUGUAGUGUAGCGGUGAAAUGCAUAGAUAUUACACAGAACACCGAUUGCGAAGGCAGCUUACCAAACCAGCACUGACGCUGAAGCACGAAAGCGUGGGGAGCGAACAGGAUUAGAUACCCUGGUAGUCCACGCCGUAAACUUUGCUCACUCGCUGUUGGCGAUAGACAGUCAGCGGCCAAGGGAAACCGAUAAGUGAGCCACCUGGGGAGUACGGCCGCAAGGUUGAACUCAAAGGAAUGACGGGGGCCCGCACAAGCGGUGGAACAUGUGGUUUAUUCGAUGAUACGCGAGAACCUACUGGGCUUAAAUGUGAAGUGCAUUGAUUGGAACAAUCAUUUCCUUCGGGACCCUUUACAAGUGCUGCAUGGUUGUCGUCAGCUCGUCCUGAGUGUCGGUUAAGUCCAUACGAGCGCACCCCUAUUGUUAGUUACCAGCGCGUGAUGGCGGGGACUCUAGCGAA
rnacentral:rRNA from 1 species